UUGAUCCUGCCGGACCUUACUGCUAUCGGGGUGGGACUAAGACAUGCGAGUCAAGCGUCUCUAGCUAUGUUGAGACGCGGCAUACGGCUCAGUAACACGUGGCUAACCUACCCUCAGGACAGGGACAACCCCGGGAAACUGGGGCUAAUACCUGAUAGGUGAGGAUGCCUGGAAUGGUUUCUCACUCAAAGGGCUUUGGAAACAUGCUUCCAUUGUCGCCUGGGGAUGGGGCCGCGACCGAUCAGGUUGUUGGUUGAGGUAACGGCUCACCAAGCCUUUAACCGGUACGGGCCGUGAGAGCGGUAGCCCGGAGAUGGGUACUGAGACAAGGACCCAGGCCCUACGGGGCGCAGCAGUCGCGAAAACUCCGCAAUGCACGAAAGUGUGACGGGGCUACCCCGAGUGCCAUCCGCUGAGGAUGGCUUUUCUUUGGUAUAACUAGCCAUUGGAAUAAGGAGAGGGCAAGACUGGUGUCAGCCGCCGCGGUAAUACCAGCUCUCCGAGUGGUAGGGAUGAUUAUUGGGCUUAAAGCGUCCGUAGCCGGCUUAGCAAGUUUCCUGUUAAACUCAGCGACUCAAUCGUUGGAUCGCGGGAAAUACUACUAGGCUAGGAGGCGGGAGAGGUCAACGGUACUUCUGGGGUAGGGGUGAAAUCCUAUAAUCCCGGGAGGACCACCAGUGGCGAAGGCUGUUGACUAGAACGCGCUCGACGGUGAGGGACGAAAGCUGGGGUAGCAAACCGGAUUAGAUACC
rnacentral:rRNA from 1 species